CUAUACAUGCAGUCGAGCGGACUUAAAAAGCUUGCUUUUUAAGUUAGCGGCGGACGGGUGAGUAACACGUGGGCGACCUGCCUGGAAGACUGGGAUAACUUCGGGAAACCGGAGCUAAUACCGGAUAAUCCUUUCCUACUCAUGUAGGAAAGCUGAAAGACGGUUUACGCUGUCACUUACAGAUGGGCCCGCGGCGCAUUAGCUAGUUGGGGAGGUAACGGCUCACCAAGGCGACGAUGCGUAGCCGACCUGAGAGGGUGAUCGGCCACGCUGGGACUGAGACACGGCCCAGACUCCUACGGGAGGCAGCAGUAGGGAAUCUUCCGCAAUGGACGAAAGUCUGACGGAGCAGCGCCGCGUGAGUGAUGAAGGUUUUCGGAUCGUAAAACUCUGUUGUUAGGGAAGAACAAGUACGAGAGUAACUGCUCGUACCUUGACGGUACCUAACCAGAAAGCCACGGCUAACUACGUGCCAGCAGCCGCGGUAAUACGUAGGUGGCAAGCGUUGUCCGGAAUUAUUGGGCGUAAAGCGCGCGCAGGCGGUCCUUUAAGUCUGAUGUGAAAGCCCACGGCUCAACCGUGGAGGGUCAUUGGAAACUGGGGGACUUGAGUGCAGAAGAGAAGAGUGGAAUUCCACGUGUAG
rnacentral:rRNA from 2 species